CCUGGCUGCAGAAGACCCUGUCCAAGCUGAGUCACCAAGGAAUGAUGCUCUGAAGUACUUGGAUUACAUUUUCACAGGAGUCUUUACCUUUGAGAUGGUGAUCAAGAUGAUUGACUUGGGGCUGUUACUCCACCCUGGCUCCUACUUC